GUCAAGUCCUCAUGGCCUUUAUGCCCAGGGCUACACACGUGCUACAAUGGGCGGUACAAAGAGAAGCAACCUCGCGAGGGUGAGCAAAUCUCAAAAAGCCGUUCUCAGUUCGGAUUGAAGUCUGCAACUCGACUUCAUGAAGUCGGAAUCGCUAGUAAUCGCGGAUCAGCAUGCCGCGGUGAAUACGUUCCCGGGCCUU
rnacentral:rRNA from 1 species